rnacentral:rRNA from 1 species
CCUACGGGAGGCAGCAGUAGGGAAUCUUCCACAAUGGGCGAAAGCCUGAUGGAGCAACGCCGCGUGAGUGAAGAAGGUUUUCGGAUCGUAAAACUCUGUUGUAAGGGAAGAACAAGUGCAGUAGUAACUGGCUGCACCUUGACGGUACCUUAUUAGAAAGCCACGGCUAACUACGUGCCAGCAGCCGCGGUAAUACGUAGGUGGCAAGCGUUGUCCGGAAUUUAUUGGGCGUAAAGCGCGCGCAGGCGGUUUUCUUAAGUCUGAUGUGAAAGCCCUCGGCUUAACCGAGGAGGGUCAUUGGAAACUGGGAGACUUGAGUGCAGAAGAGGAAAGUGGAAUUCCAAGUGUAGCGGUGAAAUGCGUAGAGAUUUGGAGGAACACCAGUGGCGAAGGCGACUUUCUGGUCUGUAACUGACGCUGAGGCGCGAAAGCGUGGGGAGCAAACAGGAUUAGAUACCCUGGUAGUCCACGCCGUAAACGAUGAGUGCUAAGUGUUAGGGGGUUUCCGCCCCUUAGUGCUGCAGCUAACGCAUUAAGCACUCCGCCUGGGGAGUACGGUCGCAAGACUGAAACUCAAAGGAAUUGACGGGGGCCCGCCACAAGCGGUGGGAGCAUGUGGUUUAAUUCGAAGCAACGCGAAGAACCUUAC